AGUGGCGAACGGGUGAGUAACAUAUCGGAACGUAUCCAAUAAUGGGGGAUAACUAAUCGAAAGGUUGGCUAAUACCGCAUACGCCCUACGGGGGAAAGCAGGGGAUCUUCGGACCUUGCGUUAAUGGAGCGGCCGAUAUCUGAUUAGCUAGUUGGUGGGGUAAAGGCCCACCAAGGCGACGAUCAGUAGCUGGUCUGAGAGGACGACCAGCCACACUGGAACUGAGACACGGUCCAGACUCCUACGGGAGGCAGCAGUGGGGAAUUUUGGACAAUGGGCGCAAGCCUGAUCCAGCCAUUCCGCGUGAGUGAAGAAGGCCUUCGGGUUGUAAAGCUCUUUCGCAAGGGAAGAAACGAUACUGGUGAAUAUCCAGUGUUAAUGACGGUACCUUGAUAAGAAGCACCGGCUAACUACGUGCCAGCAGCCGCGGUAAUACGUAGGGUGCGAGCGUUAAUCGGAAUUACUGGGCGUAAAGCGUGCGCAGGCGGUUUUGUAAGUCAGAUGUGAAAUCCCCGAGCUCAACUUGGGAACUGCGUUUGAAACUACAAGACUAGAAUAGGUCAGAGGGGGGUAGAAUUCCACGUGUAGCAGUGAAAUGCGUAGAGAUGUGGAGGAAUAUCAAUGGCGAAGGCAGCCCCCUGGGAUCAUAUUGACGCUCAUGCACGAAAGCGUGGGGAGCAAACAGGAUUAGAUACCCUGGUAGUCCACGCCCUAAACGAUGUCAACUAGU
rnacentral:rRNA from 1 species